rnacentral:rRNA from 1 species
CCUACGGGAGGCAGCAGUGGGGAAUAUUGCACAAUGGGCGCAAGCCUGAUGCAGCCAUGCCGCGUGUAUGAAUAAGGCCCUCGGGUUGUAAAGUACCUUCAGCGGGGAGGACGGGAGUAAAGUUAAUACCUUUGCUCAUUGACGUUACCCGCAGAAGAAGCACUGGCUAACUCCGUGCCAGCAGCCGCGGUAAUACGGAGGGUGCAAGCGGUAAUCGGAAUUACUGGGCGUAAAGCGGACGCAGGCGGUUUGUUAAGUCAGAUGGGAAAUCCCCGGGGCCAACCUGGGAACUGCAGCUGAUACUGGCAAGCUUGAGUCUCGUAGAGGGGGGUAGAAUUCCAGGUGUAGCGGUGAAAUGCGUAGAGAUCUGGAAGAAUACCGAUGGCGAAGGCGGCCCCCUGGACGAAGACUGACGCUCAGGUGCGAAAGCGUGGGGAGCAAACAGGAUUAGAUACCCUUGUAGUC